CAAUAGCGUAUAUUAAAGUUGUUGCAGUUAAAAAGCUCGUAGUUGGAUUUGUGGCGUACGGUGUGUUCCGGGCACUUGUUGUCUGAGUAACCUGCUGUUGCCAUCCUUGGGUGGAACCUGUGUGGCAUUAGGUUGUCGUGCAGGGGAUGCCCAUCAUUUACUGUGAAAAAAUUAGUGUGUUCAAAGCAGGCUUAUGCCGUUGAAUAUAUUAGCAUGGAAUAAUGAGAUAGGACUUUUUUGCUAUUUUGUUGGUUUGCGCAAAGAGGUAAUGAUUAAUAGGGACAGUUGGGGGUAUUCGUAUUCCAUUGUCAGAGGUGAAAUUCUUGGAUUUUUGGAAGACGAACUACUGCGAAAGCAUUUACCAAGGAUGUUUUCAUUAA
rnacentral:rRNA from 1 species